CUCAGAAAUGCUGGUCACUGGAGGUUCUCCGGUCUGACUAGGAGAAGCUGGGAUUCUUGGAACUUCAGUCUUGAGGUACAAGUACCCUGUAGCCUUAAAUCGCCUUUCCAAUGGAUUCAUCCAAAGCUUUCCCAAACAGCACCUCCCCUUCAAAAGAAUGGUGUAGAGGGCAGACUUGAAGGAUGAGUCAACCAUAAUGCUUUCCUAGAUGCUACAGAUAAAACCAUUUGAGCAAGAGAAUAUCCCAGUUACCUCUAGGGGAGCUUCUGUGAAGAGGUCCGUUGUAACCUGAAGACUUCAGACUGCUUCUUCA